GAGAGCCCUCCGAUACAGAGACAAACACGUUGUCCUUUUCUUCCAUCGUGGGUCGGUUAAAGGUCCAGUUAAAGGUCCGGUGAAAUACCGCGGCCGUCCUCUCCCGACUGAACGUUGGCCCAGACCAAGUAGUGAAGGUAGUGCUGGUGCUUUCUCUUAAAC